rnacentral:rRNA from 1 species
UACGUAGGGGGCAAGCGUUGUCCGGAAUCAUUGGGCGUAAAGGGCGCGUAGGCGGCCACGACAAGUCACUUGUGAAAUCUCCGGGCUUAACCCGGGAAGGUCAAGUGAUACUGUCGGGCUAGAGUGCAGAAGGGGCAACUGGAAUUCUCGGUGUAGCGGUGAAAUGCGUAGAUAUCGAGAGGAACACCUGCGGCGAAGGCGGGUUGCUGGGCUGACACUGACGCUGAGGCGCGAAAGCCAGGGGAGCGAACGGG